rnacentral:rRNA from 1 species
GACGAACGCUGGCGGCGUGCUUAACACAUGCAAGUCGAACGAACACGCCCGAACUUUCUCGGUCUGAAGAGUGGCGAGCGCGGGUGUAACACGUGUGCAAACCGCCCCUCUCUCUGGGAUAACUUUGGGAAAACGGGGCUAAUAUCCGAGAUGAUAUUUUGACGCGUGUGGUGCGAUAGUAAGUUUUGCGGUGGAUGAUGGGCUUGCGUCCUAUCGGGUUGUUUGUGAGGUAGUGGCUCACGAAGGCGAUGACGGGUAGCCGGCCUGAGAGGGGGACCGGCCACACUGGGACUGAGACACGGCCCAGACUCCAACGGGAGGCAGCGGUGGAGAAUAUUGCACAGUGGCGCAACGCCUGUUACGACGACCCCGGGUGAGGAAUGCCGGCCUUCGGGUUGAAAACCACUUUCAGCAGGAAAAAAGCGAUAGUGACGGUACCUGAAGAAGAAGCGCCGGCUAACUACGUG